UACGUAGGGGGCAAGCGUUGUCCGGAUUCAUUGGGCGUAAAGAGCGUGUAGGCGGCCAGGUAGGUCGGUUGUGAAAACUGGAGGCUCAACCUUCAGAGGUCGACCGAAACCAUCUGGCUAGAGUCCGGGAGAGGAGAGUGGAAUUCCUGGUGUAGCGGUGAAAUGCGCAGAUAUCAGGAAGAACACCCGUGGCGAAAGCGGCUCUCUGGAACGGUACUGACGCUGAGGCGCGAAAGCGUGGGGAGCGAACAGG
rnacentral:rRNA from 1 species